rnacentral:rRNA from 1 species
GAUGAACGCUGGCGGCGUGCCUAAUACAUGCAAGUCGAGCGAACAGAUGAGGAGCUUGCUCCUCUGACGUUAGCGGCGGACGGGUGAGUAACACGUGGAUAACCUACCUAUAAGACUGGGAUAACUUCGGGAAACCGGAGCUAAUACCGGAUAAUAUAUUGAACCGCAUGGUUCAAUAGUGAAAGACGGUUUUGCUGUCACUUAUAGAUGGAUCCGCGCCGCAUUAGCUAGUUGGUAAGGUAACGGCUUACCAAGGCAACGAUGCGUGGCCGACCUGAGAGGGUGAUCGGCCACACUGGAACUGAGACACGGUCCAGACUCCUACGGGAGGCAGCAAUAGGGAAUCUUCCGCAAUGGGCGAAAGCCCGACGGAGCAACGCCGCGUGAGUGAUGAAGGUCUUCGGAUCGUAAAACUCUGUUAUUAGGGAAGAACAAAUGUGUAAGUAACUAUGCACGUCUUGACGGUACCUAAUCAGAAAGCCACGGCUAACUACGUG